CCACUCCACCCCUUCCCUGCCCCACGCCCCCCCCCAACUCCUACUCUGCUUGUUCUUUCUCAAAUAAACUUAAAAAAAAGUACCAAGAAAAUGUUUUAAAAAAAAGAAGGGAGACUAUUGCAGCACUCAGGUGACAAGUGCAGGUGGCUUGAACCGGCAUGUCUGCAGUUGGAAUCUUCUUAAGUGGUCACAUUGUGUACUUACCUUAAAGGUAAAACUUCAAGGAUGCACUGAUAGAUUGGAUAUAUAAUAUGAGAAAGUGAGGCGUCAGAAUUGAUUCCUAGCUCUUUUUGUCUCCGGUUGACAAGGGGAAAACUAGGUGGCAGAGAUUUUCUGGUGAAGAUCAGGAACUUAGUUUUGGACAGAUGAGUUUGAGACACCUGGCAGUUAAUUCAAUGGAGAUGUUGGGUAGGCAGUUGGGUAUUCUAGUCUGGAGUUCAAGGGAGAGUCUCUGGCUGAAGAUGGAAAUAUGGGAGUCUGUGUAUAGAUGGUAAGUGAAGCCACGGGACUGGAUGAAAUUACCAAGAGAGUGAGUUACAUGGGGAGAAGAAGUCCAAAGGCUAAGUCUUGGAGCACUCCAGAUGCCAAGAGUUCAGGGCAAUGUGGAGGACCCAUCAGAGUAGACAGUGGCUACUCAGGGGAAAUCAGACUGUGAUAUCCUGGAAGCCAUGUGAAGUUUGAAGGAAGCAGUGGUCAGCUGUCACAUACUGCAAAUAGGUCAAGUAACAGGAGCUCUGAGCAUUGAAUUAGCGAUCUACGUAGUCAUUGGUGACUUUGACAAGUGGUGUUUCAAUGGAAGGGAGGGGGAAAUCUGGAGUGUGUUUGAGAAGAAAUGGGGUAGCCUCACAACAAGAAAAAAUGCUGAGCACACUGAAAAUCAAAGAAUAGAGGUCACAGAGCAAGCCACCACAAAAACUAGAGAAAAAAUAUGCAGAAAAUACAGAUCACUUCACCUAAAGGAGAAGCUAGAGCCAGUAAUCAGGAUUGAAGUGAAUUGCUGGGGGCUGAGUGUGGGCUAGCUUGAGAGUUUAAAACUCCUGGGAGUUACUCUAAGGGGUUGCCCACACUUUGGUGGGUUUUACCUCCAGGAGCUUCCCCAGGUUCUCAUUGUGAAGAUGGCAGAAAAUUCUCCUCUUGUAAGGGGGCUGGGGGGUAGUAGCCAUUUCAAAAUACACCCAGAGCUUUUUGUUAACUUGGCAGAAGACUGCCCUCAGGGAAAACUACUUGUCUUCUCUGACCUUGGGGAAGGGCUUUUGGAUAGCUAAGCCCCUUCCUUCCUUUCUCACAUAAGGAAAAAAAAAAAAGGCUAAGAAACUUCUAAUGUUCUCAGCCCAGGACUCUGGCUCAUAAAAAAGACAAAAUAGAUUUACUCAUAAGAUACAGAAGAAUUCUCCCUAGUCCUAUACCAUCAGUAGGACUCCAGUAUUACAAUAGUGGAUUACAGCUUUUGAAGAAGCUGCAACACACCGACUCUAUUUCAAGAAGGAAUUUCUAGGGAAAACCAGAAAGCAAAGACUGAAAACAUGGACACUGAAGGAAAUCAAAACCUCUGACACCUGCAGCAGGCAUCGAACACAGCCUAGCCGUGAGCCAGAUAAACAUAACACCUCACACUAAAGGCCUAUUCACCUCAGUUCCUAUUACCCAAUAUAUAUCAUGUCAAACUUCCAAUAAAAAAUAUACAAGGAUGCUCAGAAGCAGGAAAAAAAAUCUGAUGAGACCAAACAGACACCAGAACCAGACUGAUAUGGCAGAGAUUCUAGAGUUAUCAGACUGGGAAUUUAAAGUAACUAUGGUUAAUAUACCGAGGUCUCUGAUGGAAAAAGUGGACAACAUACAAGAACAGGAGUGACCCAGGAAAGCAGGACAGUUUGAUGCUGCAGGUGAGCGAGAAUCUUGCUGGAACGAUGCCCUCAAGGAGGCAAGAGAAGGAUCUAGUGCACAAGUGGAGGGACUGGACAAGCAGCGAAUAACAGGAAGAAGGGAAACCAUGAGAGCAGGGCUGGCAGGUGGGUGCGCGUGAUGGUGGAGUUUAUGGAUGUUGUCUUGAUUACUUUGAUUUUCAAGGUUACAGCUGAGAGAAAGGCUAGAGGAAGAGUGGUUGGAGGUUUGAGGCCUUAUAAAUUAGAGGAGACCGAAGGACUAGGGGAAUAUUGUGUGGUUGCCAGGUGGUGUUAAGGCUCCCUUGAAGCCUGAAUUAUUAUGUUCUAUUUUAUUUAUCAUUCUUGAAUAACUCUGUAUUUUGUUAAAAUAUAUUUUAUUGGAAACGUAUGCAUGUUUCACUAGCAUCUCCUCACAGUAAGGAUUUGGGUUCUUGUGAAUGAGGAAUCAAAUUUACAAAGUUAGAUCUCCUUAGUAGGCCAAUUGGCUAAUCUAUUAUCAUAUAAUAUGCUCUUAUUUCCCCGGGUUGUUGUUAUGGUCCUUAUUCUUGGGAGGUACUAUCAGGCUUACAGUUCAACCGAAAACAGACACCUUCUAGAUAUCAAAGCACUGAUAGAGAUGGGUUAGAACAGUAUUUGGCCUGCCUUCAGGAAGCUUACAUUUUAGUGGGAAACAAAAUACACAUCAGGCACUAAAAGAGCAGGAAAAGGGGGAAUAGGGAGUGUGGAUUGCUAUUUUAUAUUGGAGGGUAAGGGAUGAUCUCCGAUAAAUGACAUUUGAGCAGAGACCUGAAGAAGUAAGGAAGUAAGCCAUAGAUGUAUCAGGGAAAUAGUGGGCCUGGCUUUUGUAUCCAUCUCUACUUUAUAAACAAAUUUAAUAGAAGACGUGAUACCCAUUUAUGUCAACAGGCUGCCACUUUUUACUAAAUGCAAUAAAACCUUGAACGCAUUCAAUCCUUUCUUCCUGAAAUGCAAUACCAUUUAUACUUAAUAUUACCUUUUUUCUCUUUGAGUAUCAGACUUAGGGUUUUACAGAUUGAACUUGUUUUACCUAGCUGUAUUUAAUACUUACUGAUUAGAUUGUCACAACCUGGCCAUUCAGAGCUCCAUUAAACUGGCUGCCUUGUCCUUUCA